rnacentral:rRNA from 1 species
GAUAAACGCUGGCGGCGUGCUUAACACAUGCAAGUCGAACGAAGUUUUUCUUUCGGGAGGAACUUAGUGGCGGACGGGUGAGUAACGCGUGAGUAACCUGCCCUGUACAGGGGGACAACAGCUGGAAACGGCUGCUAAUACCGCAUAAGCCCUUAGCACUGCAUGGUGCAUAGGGAAAAGGAGCAAUCCGGUACAGGAUGGACCCGCGUCUGAUUAGCCAGUUGGCAGGGUAACGGCCUACCAAAGCGACGAUCAGUAGCCGAUCUGAGAGGAUGUACGGCCACAUUGGGACUGAGACACGGCCCAGACUCCUACGGGAGGCAGCAGUGGGGAAUAUUGCACAAUGGAGGAAACUCUGAUGCAGCGACGCCGCGUGAGUGAAGAAGUAUUUCGGUAUGUAAAGCUCUAUCAGCAGGAAAGAAAAUGACGGUACCUGACUAAGAAGCACCGGCUAAAUACGUG